rnacentral:rRNA from 1 species
UACGAAGGGGGCUAGCGUUGCUCGGAAUCACUGGGCGUAAAGGGUGCGUAGGCGGACAGUUUAGUCAGAGGUGAAAGCCCAGGGCUCAACCUUGGAAUUGCCUUUGAUACUGGCUGUCUUGAGUUCGGGAGAGGUGAGUGGAAUGCCGAGUGUAGAGGUGAAAUUCGUAGAUAUUCGGCGGAACACCAGUGGCGAAGGCGGCUCACUGGACUGGUAUUGACGCUGAGGUGCGAAAGCGUGGGGAGCAAACAGG